rnacentral:rRNA from 1 species
CGAACGCUGGCGGCGUGCUUAAUACAUGCAAGUCGAACGGAAAGGCCCUGCUUUUGUGGGGUGCUCGAGUGGCGAACGGGUGAGUAACACGUGAGUAACCUGCCCUUGACUUUGGGAUAACUUCAGGAAACUGGGGCUAAUACCGGAUAGGAGCUCCUGUUGCAUGGUGGGGGUUGGAAGGUUUCGGCGGUUGGGGAUGGACUCGCGGCUUAUCAGCUUGUUGGUGGGGUAGUGGCUUACCAAGGCUUUGACGGGUAGCCGGCCUGAGAGGGUGACCGGCCACAUUGGGACUGAGAUACGGCCCAGACUCCUACGGGAGGCAGCAGUGGGGAAUAUUGCACAAUGGGCGGAAGCCUGAUGCAGCAACGCCGCGUGCGGGAUGACGGCCUUCGGGUUGUAAACCGCUUUCGCCUGUGACGAAGCGUGAGUGACGGUAAUGGGUAAAGAAGCACCGGCUAACUACGUG